rnacentral:rRNA from 1 species
AUUGAACGCUGGCGGCAGGCCUAACACAUGCAAGUCGAGCGGAUGAAGCGAGCUUUCUCGUGGUUUCAGCGGCGGACGGGUGAGUAAUGCCUAGGAAUCUGCCUGGUAGUGGGGGAUAACGUCCGGAAACGGGCGCUAAUACCGCAUACGACCUGAGCGAGCAAGUUGGGGAUGUUCGGACCUCACGCUAUCAGAUGAGCCUAGGUCGGAUUAGCUAGUUGGUGGGGUAAAGGCCUACUAAGGCGACGAUCCGUAACUGAACUGAGAGGAUGGUCAGUCACACUGGAACGGAGACACGGUCCAGACGCCUACGGGAGGCAGCAGUGGGGAAUAUUGGACAAUGGGCGAGAGCCUGAUCCAGACAGGCCGCGUGUGUGAAGAAGGUCUUCGGAUUGUAAAGCACUUUAAGUUGGGAGGAAGGGCAGUAAGUUAAUACCUUGCUGUUUUGACGUUACCAACAGAAUAAGCACCGGCUAACUUCGUG